AGGAGACAAAGGCGAUACAGGUUUAGUUGGACAAAAAGGAGACAGUGGUGAACCUGGAUAUGUCGGAUCUAACGGAAAAGACGGACCCCAG
rnacentral:sRNA from 1 species